GCGAGCGGAACUAACAGAUUUACUUCGGUAAUGACGUUAGGAAAGCGAGCGGCGGAUGGGUGAGUAACACGUGGGGAACCUGCCCCAUAGUCUGGGAUACCACUUGGAAACAGGUGCUAAUACCGGAUAAGAAAGCAGAUCGCAUGAUCAGCUUUUAAAAGGCGGCGUAAGCUGUCGCUAUGGGAUGGCCCCGCGGUGCAUUAGCUAGUUGGUAAGGUAAAGGCUUACCAAGGCGAUGAUGCAUAGCCGAGUUGAGAGACUGAUCGGCCACAUUGGGACUGAGACACGGCCCAAACUCCUACGGGAGGCAGCAGUAGGGAAUCUUCCACAAUGGACGCAAGUCUGAUGGAGCAACGCCGCGUGAGUGAAGAAGGUUUUCGGAUCGUAAAGCUCUGUUGUUGGUGAAGAAGGAUAGAGGUAGUAACUGGCCUUUAUUUGACGGUAAUCAACCAGAAAGUCACGGCUAACUACGUGCCAGCAGCCGCGGUAAUACGUAGGUGGCAAGCGUUGUCCGGAUUUAUUGGGCGUAAAGCGAGCGCAGGCGGAAGAAUAAGUCUGAUGUGAAAGCCCUCGGCUUAACCGAGGAACUGCAUCGGAAACUGUUUUUCUUGAGUGCAGAAGAGGAGAGUGGAACUCCAUGUGUAGCGGUGGAAUGCGUAGAUAUAUGGAAGAACACCAGUGGCGAAGGCGGCUCUCUGGUCUGCAACUGACGCUGAGGCUCGAAAGCAUGGGUAGCGAACAGGAUUAGAUACCCUGGUAGUCCAUGCCGUAAACGAUGAGUGCUAAGUGUUGGGAGGUUUCCGCCUCUCAGUGCUGCA
rnacentral:rRNA from 1 species